GAGAGUAUCCUCUAAGGAAGGAUCAAACAUGACCUGUGAAAUACAACCUGGAGUGGUCUUCCAUUCUGCUCAAAAGAUAGGAGUUCCAAGAAGAGAGAAAGUGCCAUGAAGGAGCUGGCAUAUACCUCCAGCAUGUGCCGUGCUGCCCGAGGACUCUAGUCAUCAAACUGAAUAUACUCACCCCUCAGCUCCCACAGUGAUGUAACUGAAAAAGAGAGAUCCAGGAAAUGGAGGAGAGAGUGAGGAAGGAUGAAGACCUCCAAGUCAGCUUUAGAUGACCAAAUGCAUCUGGGCUGGAGACAGUGAAAGUGGACCUUCAAAUCCAGAUAGACUCUUGGGUGGACAUACUGAUUAUUGAACUGUGGAUGCUGAGAUCACCUGUUAUUUAAAUACAGCCAAGACCAUGAGGUGAAGUAGAGAUAAGGCCAUCUUAUCCUCUAGGGAUAAGGCCAUCUUCUUACCAACACAUCAUCCUGUCAAUACUAAGUUUUUCAUAGUUUCUCUAGGCUGGGACAAUUUCCUUUCUCCGGCCAUUUGGUGAAUCCGUACACCUUCCUCCACCCAGAAGACAGUCUCUUUUCGGCCUUCCCUUGGUUGAGGUAUAAUUACCUAGUAGACCUGUGUAAACUUAAAGCACUCAGUGUGAUGACUGAAAGCCUAUAGCAUCAUCAAGCGACAACCGCAAUCCAAUUAAUUAGCAAAUCCGUCGCUUCAGAGUGGGACAGACCCUAAUCUGCAGAGGAAGAUGAAGGAGGUUGAAGUGAUUCUUCAGCAACCACUACGAAGGGUUUUUCCAGUGGUUUGGAGUAGCUUCUGGUUCACCUUGAGCAAUCUGAACUCUGAAUAAGAUGCAGCCGGCCAUCAGGAAAUCAAACUGCAUAGAAUCUCACAGCUGACCAAUGUCAGGGGCGUGGGGACAACAGGAUUCCAUCAUGCCGGGGACAGCAGCUGGAGAUAGCUGGUGCAGUGGUGUUUGCUGGGUUAAGAACGCAGCCUGCUUUGCUACUGAGACAGAGAAGCCAGGCUUUGUUGGAUCUUCCUGGGGCUUCAUCAAGGUGCACAAGAGAGAUACCCAGUCUGAAGCUGAAAGUGGCUAGGAAAAUCAGGUCGGUUAUGCAAGCCUGCUCCUGAUGCCCCUCCUGCUGGAGGUAUAGGAUGGGGUACCACUCAGAGUCUGUUCUGGAAGUUAAUCACAGGACCGGCUGAGCUGAAGCAGUGACACCCAGCAGCAACCUACAUUGAGAACUAAAUUUGGCACACCACUUAUGAAACAGUGAGGUUCUGGCAAUUGGAACAAGGACAUAGGGGCAGGGCCAGGG
rnacentral:sRNA from 1 species